AGUAAUCGACAAUGACGAGGACAUAAUGUUUCCCAUUUAAGGGUUCUAGUUAAAUGGCGACUGUUAUAAACCACUGCAAAUUAAAAACGGGGAUAUAUACCAGAGAGGAGACUUAUCUAAUAAGCUUACACGUCAUAAUGAUGCAAGGGUAUGGAGGUUAGCGGAGCAGUUACCUGUACACGGGGAGGGAGUGCAGUUAGUGGGAAAGCCGUCUUCACCUGGGGGGGACCACUUGCAGAAUUUGUUUGCAUUCCAUGGUCGCUAGAUCGGACUACUCCUAAACAUGGCCUCUAUAUCUGUACUAACGAGAACCGUUCUGCUUCACCUUGUGCUGUCCGUAGGGAUUCUCCGUGGAGAGGACACGGUCCCGGCUUGUGACAGCCCAAUUUACUGUCAGGGGGACCUUCUGGAUAUAAUACAGCGGAUGAGGCUGUUCAAUGACUCCAAAACCUUCGUGGAUAUGAGUCUUAAGCAGUCUCCAGAGGAAGUCUUGUCUGCUUUUAACAACCUUUCUAAACCAAUCUCCGAGGCGCAGGGUCGGAAGUUUGUGGGUGACCACUUUUCCGGUCCUGGGGAUGAAUUCCAACCAUGGAAACCGACCGAUUUGCCGCGCAUGCCUGCCAUCAUGAAUCACAUCAAGGAUCCCUUACUGAGGGGCUUUGCCUGGGACCUCUGUCGGACUUGGAAAGACUUGGGUCGAAAAAUCAAAAUUGAUGUGAAAUUGAAUCCAGAUCGCUAUUCCCUGGUGUAUCUACCUAACCCAUUCAUUGUCCCCGGGGGAAGAUUUAGAGAAACCUAUUACUGGGAUACCUACUGGGUGGUGAAGGGUCUUCUGUUGUGUGAAAUGACAGACACCGUGAAGGGCAUGCUGGAAAACUUUGCCUUUAUGAUAGAGAGGUUUGGCUUCAUUCCGAAUGGCGGCCGUGUAUACUACAGUCGGCGCUCGCAGCCUCCUUUCUUUAUUCCAAUGAUGUAUGACUAUUACAAGGCCACCAAAAAUCUCACCUUCGUGCAGAGUCAUCUACCAGCCAUGGAGGCAGAGUACGAUUUCUGGAUGACUAAUCGAAGCGUCAGCGUACAGAGGGGUGACGUCACACAUAUACUCAACAGAUACGCAUCCAGCGUCAACUCUCCUAGACCCGAGUCCUAUUCUGAAGAUCUAAAAACUGCCUCAAGUACAAACAAUUCCAGCGCCAGACGACAGUUGUAUCAGAACCUCGUGUCUGCCGCCGAAUCAGGAUGGGAUUUCUCCUCUCGCUGGUUCUCGCGAGAUCCUGGGACAAAUCUCACCCUUGACACCACGAGGACAACUAAUAUUUUACCUGUCGAUCUGAACAGUGUCCUUUGCAUGAAUGAACACAUCUUAUCGGAACUUUUCAACCUGACAGGCAAUCAAGAAAAAGGGAAAAACUAUUCCAAAAACUGGCAAAGACGACAGACGGCGAUUUUUAACGUGCUCUGGAACCCCACGAAAAGGGUGUGGCAAGACCUGGACAUUGCGGCCAAUUCUCACAGGGACUACUUUUAUGCCUCCAACAUUCUCCCUCUGUUUGCAUCAUGCACAGGAAGAAAUGAAACACAAACGGAGAAAUCUGUUUUGACCUAUUUACAGAAUUUAGGAGUUUUGCAAUUUGCGGGGGGUUUUCCAACCUCGCUAGAAACGACUGGCCAGCAGUGGGAUUUGCCCAAUGGAUGGCCACCAUUACAACACAUGGCUAUCUGGGGAAUGUCUCAAAGUCAGAAUCAACAGUUAAAGGCCGAGGCAUUUUCUCUAGCCAAUAAAUCGAUUGUUAGCAAUUGGAUAGCGUGGAAUCGCAGCAGAAACAUGUAUGAGAAGUACUCAACUAAUAUCUCGGGGGAAGGAGGCAGUGGCGGUGAAUACGGAGUACAGGUAAGAAUACAGAGUACAGGUAAGAGAUAUACUUCGUACACUGCAAUCUUAGUACAAUAAUGUCCGUACUACCAACCAGCUAGAAACAAGUACUAGUACAUGUAUAACUAGAAAUUGCAAUAUAUAGUGUACAUGUACUGUAAUCUUAGUAAAAUAAUGUCCAUGCUACCAACCAGUUACGAAAAACUAUAACAAGAAAUACCAAAAUUCUGUCAGGAUUUAUUACUUUCAACUGUACAUAACAAACGUUUUUCGUCAAACAUUCUGUCCCGACGGUGUCCCGACUGUGACAAAGUUUCAAAGUUUGAACAUUGACUUAUAUCAUUGUUAUCAAGAGGAUUCAAAGAAAAUGAUACAUCAAACAUAUAGAAUGAUAUAUUAUUAAUAUAUCAUGCAACUAUUCAAUUUUGUACAUGUAAUAUUUUCAGCACUACAUGUAAAUACUAACUAAGAAUAUCCAAUUUUUCCACUUAUUACUUAAACCGUAAACUCAUAUUAAUCGUGAUUCUAUAACAUUAUGUCUUUAUUUGUUAGAUGGAUCAAUGUUAUACUUUUACACGUUGUAGUGUGAUUGUCUUUAAUUGCAGGAGGGGUUUGGGUGGUCCAAUGGAGUCGUGUUAGAACUACUAAGUAUGUACGGAGAUAGGUUAUCCGUCAGCCCGCAGUGUCAUCAUACGUCAUCCGCCCACGCCGCCUCCAGAACGAGGCUGUUCUACCAUAUAUCGCCACUUGUUCUUUGUUUUGUUUGUUUGCUGUUUUAUUUAUAGUUUUGCAAUAAAGAAUUCUUUUAAG
rnacentral:misc_RNA from 1 species